UCUUACUUUUCUACCACAAGAUGUUUUGAAUUUCAUUUUUUGGAACCCUUCCAUUCAAAAAUACAUUACAUUGCCUCAACCAAAUAUUUGCUGCUAUACUGAUGAUGUACGUUUAAAUUUUGGGUUUGGGUUUGAUUCGAAAACCAAUGAUUAUAAGCUACUUAUAGUUGGGGUUGAAAAAGGGAUUUCAUCCACUUUUGUUAAUGGGGCACUCCAUUGGUUAGGGUAUCAAGAGGGAAAAUUGGUGGAUUCAGUAAUGCAAUUUUGGGGUUUGAUUUAAGCAGUGAGGAGUUUUUUGAGAUAAGUUUGCCAGAAAGUUUAGUUUGGUUGUGUCCUAUGGAUUUAUCAACUAUGAGAUAGGGGUAUCUAGCAGUUACUUCUGUUAUUAAUUUUUUAAAUAAUAAAAAAUAAGUUUAAUAUCAUAA